rnacentral:lncRNA from 1 species
CACAGUCUAGAAAUUCAUUCAAAUAUAGAUAAAAUUUCGUACACAAAUAUUUUAUUAACUAGUGAUUUCGGCCCAUGGUUUCUAUAUAAUGGUAUUGCACUAUAGGUGGUUUUCGAUUUUUUUAUAUAAGCUAUUUCUUAGUGAUUAAGUUAGAUGUGGUGAAAAUAUUUUUAGGUUAGGAUUUCAGAGUUUUAUUCACAAAGGGUUUCACUCUUCACUAUUUUCCGGUCACCACCAACCCGAAAUCCGGCGAAGUUCCGGCAACCCAAAACCCCGUUUCCUUUUGCCAUUUUCCGCGAACAUCAACUCCGGCUAAACAACAACCAAAACAACUCCAAAUUCCAUCGAACUUCCACCUCCAAACCUCACUGCCAGACCAUACCUCACCAAACAACCAUCUAGCCUUCUUCUUCAUCAGUUCGCACGACCAUCUCCACCGGCCAGCAGCUCAACGGAGAAAUCAUCUCCGGUGAAACCCCGAACAGCCACCAGUCCCCAUCCCCUUUUUCUUUGACGAUUCACUUCAUUUUGCAGGUAUUUUAGCAAAACCCGCGCCGCUGCUGGUCAAAGCUUCGACAAGCAACAAACCACCAGCUAACACCACCAUUGCCUCCCCGUUUCUCCAUUUUUUCCAGACCCCAAAAUCCCAUCUCCAUUCGCCACAUUUUCCGAAACAAGCUCCAAACGAGCUCACCACAAAACCACCAGAAGCCCGCUGCUACCAGUGACAACACCCUCACUGUUCUCCCUCUUCUCCGACAAGCUCACACAACCAAUAAACUCUGUUUUCUCUGACCGAAAUCCAGCCAACCAAAUCCCCAAAUCAACCAGAAACCAGAAACCAGUCCCAAGACCCACGACCCAAAUACCCUCUUUUUCCGAGCAAAACAACCAAGCUCCAAGCAGUCAUCUCCGACCCAAAACCACUAGAUCUCACUCCAAACCUGUCAACAACAGCAAGUGAGCACUGCCGGAAGGACCACCUGGAAGCUUUAAGCUUUAAGAUUUAACAAUCAAUGAACUCACUCACUAGUUCAAAUCAGCAACACAACACUAUCAAUUCCAGCAAAUGAGUAAGCCUCUUUAUUUUUAUCUUUUGCUAUUUUACUUUGUUUAUUUUCUGCGUUUUAGAUUUGGCCGGUGUUAUUUUCAUUUUUCAUCUUUCUUUGAUAUAAAGUUAUGAUUAGCUGUGCUAUUAUUUUUACCAUGUUAUUUUAUUUUGGUUGUUUAUUCACGAUUUUUGUACUGAUUUGCUGUGUGUUUUGCCUCUUAUAUGGUUAUGCUUUGAAUUUUUUAUUUUAAACAAAAUAUCUAGUGGUUAAGGAAUUUUCUCAAGUGUGAUAUCAUUCUCUAUUUAUUGAUGUGUCAUUAUGAUAAGUUGCUAUUAAUUAUAUUUCAUAUUGUUUCAUGUAGUUGCCUCAAUCGGUCAGGUUACAUUUAUUAUAGUUUAGUUUCUAUUGUUUUUAUCCAAGUUUUUACUUAUUUUUUAAUCUAUUAGAGUUUCAAUUCUCAAAUUAGUUCUUGGUUGACUUUUUUGUUAUGUAUUGAUUGUUUUCUUAUUAAGUGUUUGUUUGUUCUUAUCUUUAAAUAUUUCUUUAAAAUAGUUUAUUUAUUCUUCUUCCAGUGCUAUAGUAAUUAGCUUAUACAUUACAAGUUAAAUGACCAAUGAGAAAAUUUCUUCGUUGGUUUUGGAGGCCUCUUCAAUAUUUUUUAAAAGACGGAAAUUUAGUUUAAGUUUAUAUUUUUUGUAAGUUAAAAUGGCCGAUGAAGAAAUUACCGUCGAUUUCCAAGGUCUUUCAUGUUAAUAAGAUGGGUUUUAUUUUUAAGUUAUUAUUUGAGUUAUUCAUUUUUAUUCAUAUUUAUUUAGUACUAACACUUUUACUAAGUGUCUUUACGGAUACACAAAGCUAUUUUCCAUUUAAGUUAUUCGAAAUAGAGUUUCGAAUUAUAAUUUUUAUUUAUUAUUGUUCAUUAUUAUUGUUUUAUUUUAUUAUUUGUGUAUAUUACUUGUUUAUUAUACUUGUAUAUUUAUUUUUUAUCUCCUCCUCAAUUUGAAAAAAAGUGAAUUCAGUCGGAACCCACAUUUGUGGAUUUCGAAAGAUGCCUAACACAUUUCGUUGCGGAAUAACUUGAACCCCUUACCUAGAAUCUAAUGGUUUCAUAGAUUACUUAAAUGGUUUCCUAGUUUUUCCUAAAAUUAGGUGGCGACUCCUUUAAAAUUCGUUUAUUCUUGAAAUUCUUUUAAAAUUGAUUCAAUUGUUUAUUUUUUGAGUCACCGCGAUAUUUCACCCUAUUUGAAUAGAGUAGGGAUGUAAACAGUACCGCCCAUGUUAAGGAAGAAAAGAGAGAGUUAGCGAAAGAUGUGCAUAGACUUGCAUGCCUGGGAGUCCGACUAAUAUAUUCCACAGAAUGAGGGGUAGUGGUGAUGAAUGGGGCUGAAUCAUAAUUAGUGUCAGAAGUAAAAGAAAAGCAAGACCAAGAUCCCAUUUUUCUUGAAUUGAAGGCAAAUACUCAUAAACAAAAAGUAAUGGCUUUUGAACAAGGGGAAGAUGGUGUGUUGAGGUAUCAAGGUAGGUUGUGUGUGCCAAGGGUGGAUGAACUCCACGAGAGGAUCAUGGAAGAAGCUCAUAGCUCCAGAUAUUCAAUCCAUCCAGGUUCCACAAAGAUGUAUCGUGACUUGAGAAAAGUGUAUUGGUGGAGUAGUAUGAAGAAGGGCAUUGCAGAGUUUGUUGUUAGGUGUCCAAAUUGCCAAUAAGUUAAAGUAGAGCACCAAAGGUCCGGUGGGUUGGCUCAAAGUAUAGAACUUCCGAAAUGGAAGUGGGAGAUGAUUAAUAUGAAUUUCAUCACAGGUUUACCAAAGGUCUCGCAGACAGCAUGAUUUGAUUUGGGUGAUUGUGGAUCGCAUGACCAAAUCAGCCCACUUUUUGCCGAUAAAAAAACUACCCAUACGGCAGAGGAUUAUGCUAAGUUGUAUCUUCAAGAACUGGUGAGUCUUCAUGGAGAUCUGGUCUCCAUUAUUUCAGACAUAGGUGUGCAAUUACUGCACAGUUUUGGAAGUCAUUCCAAAAAGGCUUGGGUUCAAAGGUGAACUUGAGUACUACCUUUCAUCCUCAGACAGAUAGGCAAGCAGAACGCACUAUUCAGACCUUAGAGGAUAUGUUGAGGGCUUGUGUGAUUGAUUUCAAAAGUAAUUAGGAUGAUCACCUACCUCUCAUUGAGUUUGCUUACAACAAUAGUUACCACUCGAGCAUCCAAAUGACUCCUUAUGAAGCUUUUUAUGGGAGAAGAUGCAGAUCUCCUAUUGGAUGGUUUGAAGUUGGUGAAGCUGGGUUGAUAGGACCUGAUUUAGUUCAUGAAGCUAUGGAAAAGGUGAAAGUGAUUCAAGGAAGGUUGAAAACAGCACAGAGUCGUCAGAAAUUCUACACUGAUGUGAGGAGAAGGGAGUUAGAGUUUGAAGUAGAUGAUUGAGUAUAUCCUAAAUUUUCAUCAAUGAAGGGUGUUAUGAGGUUUGGUAAGAAGGGGAAACUUAGUCCCCGGUACAUUGGCCCUUACAGAAUAUAAAAAAAGAUUGGUAAUGUAACUUAUGAGUUGGAGCUACCGCAAGAGUUAGCAGCGGUUCAUCCUGUAUUUCACAUCUCCAUGUUAAAGAAGUGCAUGGGCGAUCCUUCAUUGAUCAUACCAACUGAAGAUAUUGGGAUCAAUGAUAGCUUAUCUUAUGAGAGGAUUCCGGUUCAAAUUCUAGAUCGCCAAGUUCGCAAGUUGAGGACUAAGGAAGUAGCAUUAGUCAAAGUUCUUUGGAGGAACAAGUUUGUUGAGGAAGCUACUUGGGAAACUGAAGAAGAUAUGAAGAAGAGGUAUCCAUAUCUCUUUGAAAUCGGAGAAAUUCCAGAUCAAGGUACUAAUCAUUUUCUUGGUAUUUAUUUAUAAGUUGGCAUAUUGUUUUUUGCAUUUUGAUUGUUGGGUGUUUGAACUGAAUGUAAGAUAUUACACCCUUAGCCUAGAAAGAGUAAUCUCAUUCGAGGACGCAUGUUCCCAAGGGGGAGAUAUUGUAACAUCUCGCAAAUUGAAAUAACUAGGAAGAAGUUAAGAAUUGGAAAUAGUCAAUUUUUGGAAAGAAUAGAAAUCUGGAAAAUUUGUUAAGUAUGUUGAGUUGAGUUUUUUUGUCAACUUCAAACAACCAUAACUCAUAGCUCAGGAUCAUUUAGGUGUAUUUCCAGAUAUCGUAGGAAAGAUCUUGUAAUAAUCUUUCCAACUCCGCCGAAUUUGCACGAUUCCGAGUUCAUAUAAGUGAGAUAUGCCCAUUUGAAGUUGGGUUGUUCAAAUAAGGAAAGUCUAAACCGAAUUUGGUCUUUACCAUACCCAAUUAAAUUAAUUCGUUUUUGGUAAUUACUUAGGGGUCUAAACUGAACUUGGUCAGUUUACGCUUUUGAAAAAUUGAGUUAGGAUUUUAGAGAAGAGAAAAAAAAGAGGAGAAAGGAGGAGAAGAAGCAAGAAUCGUCAAUUCUCGAAGCUAAGAUUGUGGAUUUCGUCAAGGGGUGAUCCCUACGUGGUAUGUGAGGCUUUCAUAAUGUUGGGUUUGUUCACCCACGUGCCAAGCAUGUUUUUUUCAGCGUGAAUUCAUCCUAAAAGAUUUUGGACGUUUGAUGUUCUUGAUAUGUAUUCUUGAAUUUGAUGUCGUUCUUGAAUUGGGCUGAGAUUGAGAAGUUUCUGAGAUUAUUAAGUCGAAUUAUAGAGUUGUUUAGAGUUAGGUUCUUAGGUACAUUUGUUGGGUAUCUGAAUCGAAAAAGAAUUUGGGAAAAAAAUGAGUUUAGGUGAAUUGGGGCUGGAAAACGAAGAAGGAAAAUAGUCGGGCGAAUCUGGGCACUGGCUCCGCAUCAUGGACUUGCUCCUUAGAUUUAGCAAAAGUUCUUCGCGGAGCGGUCAUUGACCAUUCUGCCUCAAAAUGUAUUUUCACGACCAAAAAUUUAAAUACAUCUCCGUGUCGCGAACUAGUAUCCAGACAGUGAUUUCUUGAUCUUUUCUCAUGUUUAACUAUAUAAAAACAUUCCUACAUAUCGUGAGAUCGUUCCUAUCACAAAUCACAAUCCUUGAAUCCAUAAUUCAAUUCAAGGAAAGUUAAGAGUCAAGUCAAGGANNNNNNNNNNNNNNNNNNNNNNNNNNNNNNNNNNNNNNNNNNNNNNNNNNNNNNNNNNNNCAGGUGAAGGAAAUUCAAGAGUCAAGUCAAGAGAAGUUCAUAAAGUUUUCAAAAGUUUUUCACAAACGUUUUAACUUAUUUCAAGACUUGAGUUUUGAGUUGAGUAAAGAGUAAAGUUUGAAGUUCAUUUCUUCAAAAGAGUAUAUCGGGACUAUGUAUUCCUAAAGAGUAAUAUGUUUUCACAUUUACAGAAGAAAGGAAACCUUGAUUUCCAAAAGAGCCUUUGAGCUAGUUUUCAGUUAAAUAGUAAAUGUUUUAACAUUUGAGCAAGAAAGGGAACAUCGAUUCCAAAAGAGCUUUUAAGCUAAGUUUUGAGUAAUUAUCUCAAACCAAAGAAAGAAGCAUUGUUUUAAAAACAUAUGAGCUAAGUAUAUUUUGAGAGUAGUAUUGAGCAUCGAUAUGGGGAUGCGAGUUCAUAUUAACUCAAGUCUCCAUAAACUAUGUAGCCAUCAUGGGUAGUAAAUGAUCAUACUUUUUAGAUGAAUUCUUAAGUUGCUUUUUAGCAUAGACUAGUGGAUCCACUUAGUUAAGGCGUUCUAUAUGAUGGCAAAGUAUACGACAGUUCUGGCAGCGUGAGCAAGACAUAAUAUUGUAUCCCUACUUAGGCUCAUAGUGGUGGUUGUCGGUUAGAGAAACUCCCACAAAAACUAUAUUACUUUAUUACAUGAGUAAAGUUGAGUUUGUUAUUGCAUUUCUUUAACGAAGUGAGUUGCUUGCUACUGUUUUAAAAGUUUUCUAUAUAUUGCAUGUGUUUUAUUACUUUAUAUUGAGUUAAGUUAUUCAUGAGUUGAGUAAAGCCAAGGUAAGCGUUCCUUUCAGAUUCUUUUCAAACCUAGGUAUGUUUAGCAUUCCAACUCACAUACUCGUAAUUCAAUGUACUAAUGCCAAUUGGUCUGCAUCGUCUUAUGAUUCAGACACAGAUAAUCAGGAUCAACAUUCAGCGCUUCGUUGAUCAUGUUGAGCACUCAGAGUCAGUUGGUGAGCCCGCUUGCUUUUCGAAUGGCUCCUUCUUACAUUGCUUUCUAGUUUUCAGUUGUUAGGAUGAUCGGGGGUCUUGUCCCAACAUCCCUCUUUGUUUUAGAGGCAUCAUAGAUAGAUAGUAGUUCAGUUGUCUUUACAUGAUUAUUUCUUAUGUUAAGACUUGAGUUGCCAUUUUGGCCAAGUUGAAUGUUUGACUUUUAAAUGUUCUAAGUUAUUUUAUUAAACAAGUUGAGUAGAAGUGCAUUUGAUCAUUAUAAUAAUGCUUAGAGUCUUUCACUGAGUAAGUAAGCCAGGCCAAGGGUUUGAUUGGGGACAACAAUGGUUCUCGAGUGCCGGCCACGUUCAGGGUGUAGGCUCAGGGCGUGACAACAACAAGACUCAAAAUAGUUUUUAAAAAUAUUCAUAACAUAACAACAUAAUUUAUAAUGGAUUGAAAUGAGUAGAACUAAUAAAUAAGAAACCUAAACGGAUUGGAUGAACUGGAUUUAAUUUUACCACACCUAAUUUUUUAUUUUGUUGACGAUAGUAAUGUGGUUCCCGUCACUAGAUUGACAUCAGAAAGAAACUAAAUAACUUACUUGGCUCAACUCAACUCAACCUGACUGACUCACCUCAAUAUAAUGCAAUUUAAAACAAGUGCAAUAUAAAGAAAAGCUGUUUAAAACCUGCUAUAAACUAUGUAUGUAUACAAAGAUACAAUAAGCCUGAGAUGUAUAUAGAAAUACAAUUGAACUGAUGUAUAUAAAAAUACAAUAACUGCUGUGUAUGAAAAUAUAAUAGCUGCUGUGGGAGUUUCUCUAACCGACAACCAUCACAUGGAGCUAUAGUGAUGAUACAGUGAUCGGCCUCACGCUGCCAAAGCAUCCUAUACUCGGCCAAAGGUAGAAUACCUGAACUGCCUAAUGGAUCCACUAGUCUAUCUGGAAAAGGAUUCAUCUAAAAAGUAUGAUCCUUUUCUACCCAUGGUGGCUAACAUGGUUCUAUGGGGGCUGUGGGUUCCUUGAACGCUCCCCCAACUCGGUGCUCGAUACUACUCCCAAAAUAAUGUACUGGCUCUUAUGUUUUUAAAACAUGUUUCUUCCUGCUGAUUUGAGAUAAUUACUCAAAAACUUAGCUCAAAAGGCUAUCUUGGAAAUCUCAGUUUCCUCUUUUGCUUCAUUUAGAAAGCGAUAACUCCCCUUUUUUUUUUUGGAAAACUAGCCCG